CAAGUCGAACGAGAAAGGGAGCAAUCCUGAGUAAAGUGGCGCACGGGUGAGUAACACGUGGGUAAUCCACCCUCCGGUGGGGAAUAACUUUGGGAAACCGAAGCUAAUACCGCAUAAGACCGAGAGGUGAAAGGGCGAAAGUUCGCCGGAGGAGGAGCCCGCGGCUGAUUAGCUAGUUGGUAGGGUAAAAGCCUACCAAGGCUGAGAUCGGUAGCCGGCCUGAGAGGGCACACGGCCACACUGGCACUGAAACACGGGCCAGACUCCUACGGGAGGCAGCAGUGGGGAAUCUUGCACAAUGGGGGCAACCCUGAUGCAGCGACGCCGCGUGAGUGAUGAAGCCCCUCGGGGUGUAAAGCUCUUUCGGCAGGGACGAUAAUGACGGUACCUGAAGAAGAAGCUGCGGCUAACUACGUGCCAGCAGCCGCGGUAAUACGUAGGCAGCGAGCGUUGUUCGGAGUUACUGGGCGUAAAGAGUGCGUAGGCGGUGUUCCAAGUCUGUUGUGAAAUCUCCCGGCUCAACUGGGAGGGUGCGGCGGAAACUGGGACGCUGGAGUACGGGAGAGGUAAGCGGAAUUCCUGGUGUAGCGGUGAAAUGCGUAGAUAUCAGGAGGAACACCUGCGGUGUAGACGGCUUACUGGACCGUAACUGACGCUGAGGCACGAAAGCGUGGGUAGCAAACAGGAUUAGAUACCCUGGUAGUCCACGCCCUAAACGAUGCAUACUUGGUGUGGGCAGUUCAGUCUGUCCGUGCCGAAGCUAACGCGAUA
rnacentral:rRNA from 1 species